AACAUAUAUCUAACUAGAUGUCCCUCCUGUUCCAGAGGGACAGGAGAAAGAGAAAUGGAAUAGAAGAAAAAAUGGCAAAUGUCAAAUGAAAUUGGUAAACUUAUAAAAGACAUCAAGCCACAGAUUUAAAGAGAUCUAUAACAUCAAGGAGGAUGAGUUAAAAAAAGCCAACUAUAAGAACCUUGUUAUACAAUUUCAGAGACCAACUCUAAAGAAAAAAUAUAAAAACAACCAAAAGAAAAAAGAAGACACAUAUUUUCAAAGAAGCAGCAACAAAACAGAGGCAACUUCUCAGCAGAAACAGUGGAUACCAAAUAUAAAGAACAGCAUUUUUUAAAUGUUGAAAAAAAAAUUGCCAACCAACAAGUGUAUACUCAGUGAAAGUAUCCUUUAAAUUGAGAACAAAAUGAAAACAUUUCCAGACUCUUCCCCUUAACUUCCCUCCAUCUACACAAAUAAUUCUUCUUUAGUAGUCUUACCUUGAAAGAAAUCCUGACUUGGCAUGGUGGCUCAUGACUGUAAUCCUAGCACUUUGAGAGGCCAAGGCAGGCUGAUCACUUGAGCCCAAGAGUUUGAGACCAGCCUGGGCAACAUGGCAAAAUCCCAUUUCUACAAAAAAUUACAAAAAUUAGCUGGGUGUGGUGGCAUGUGCCUGUAGCCCCAGCUACUCAGGAGGCUGAGGUGGGAAUAUCACCUGAGCCAGUGAAGGUCGAGGCUGCAGUGAGCUGUGACUGCUGACAUUCUUCUCAACUGGCUUGGGUUCCAACACUUCAGACAAGGCCGUUUCCUUCAAAAAUGCCCACUUCACCCUAAUCGGUUUCUCACACACCUUGACUCUUCUCCCCUCCUCAGGAAGUGUAUCAGCAUUGAGGGGAUGAAGGAGGAUGUGUACCAAAUGUCUAAGAAGGAAAGAUUCCCAAGGAAGAAGUACAUGGGUGUGUGGAGACGAGGAUCCAGGAGUGUCAGAAUGAUCAAGGUGCCGUUCCCCAGGAGAAUCACCAGCACAGGUGCCUAUAAAAUAAAGCAGAAAAUGUUUGAGAGAAGCAUGGCUCGUACUUCCAAAGGUCAGUACUGUCAUUCCAGCAACAUUCACUAGUAUGUCCUAGA
rnacentral:lncRNA from 1 species